rnacentral:misc_RNA from 1 species
AAGAGAAAAGGAAGUUCGCUUCCGGGACUUCGGUCCUCACUCUUCACCCUUUGUUUAUCUAUCUUCGUUGCUUUGGCGGGCUUCUCGAUUGAAGAAGUCUUGAUCAGCCCGCCAAAGGUUUUUGAAACUUCAAUUUUUUUUGCUGUCUGAUCAAUUUAUUUAAUAAUCA